CUAGGCUCUAACGCAAAAGCACACAGGGAACCAUCAGUACCUUUUUGGAGUGUAUGGGUUUUGUUUUUAUAUGUAAAAUUUCCCCUGUGGGGUACUGUCCAGCUGGCUCGGCAUGGGUUUGAACCCUCUCUUUGUCACUUGUUAGCUGUGUGACCUUGAGUGGAGUUUGACCUCUGAACUUCAGCACCCUUAGUUUUCCAAUGCGCAUGAACAGAACCAUUCAGGGGGCUGCUUCAAAGGCCCAAGGAGAUCACUCUGUACAGGCCUAGUAUGGUCCCUGGUGUGGAGUAAACUCUAGUGAGGUUUUUUGGUCUUUUUGGUUUUUGUUUUUUGCAUUAAUAAUGACAUUGCACUGUAAGCAUGAUAUUUUCCAAUAUUAGAAAUGAGUGUCCCAAACUCAGAAACAUUGAAUUGUUUACUUAGAGUCACAGGCAUGGGAUCAAACAUGAGCCCUCCGUUCCCCAGUCUGAUGUUCGUUCCUUGUUGCCUGAAAUGUGCAAAUUAUUUUACAGAGAAGAGGGGGACAGAAAAUUGCUUCGAUUCCUGACUUCACCUUAACAGCCUCCACCCUGCAGGAGAGCUCGCUGUAAUAAAGGCCUGGUGUCUUGAGUUUGGUUUUGAUCCAUUUUUAAAAUCCUCUUUCCCCCUUAGCUCUUCUUUGAAACUGGCUUCCUGCCACUUUGCACAGAAAGUCCUGCUCUCACUCUCUCUCUCUUUCUCUCAGUGCAAAAAACAAACAAAGCACAGGCCUUUGAAAUGCUGUUUUGGCCCCUUAAGAGCUAACAUUUGUCAGUUGUAAUUAUCACUCUCCAGGCCUUCUCCAGUUGAGAAUUAAUCAGGGUCCUCAAAUCCCUGCACAUCUGUAGCUGAUCCACAAACAACUGUCCCAUCCAUGUUCCACCUUCACAGGGGAUAACUGUAGGAAAAGCAUAAAUACCAUCUACUUCUGCACUUGAAAGGAGCAAUUCAGAAUGAACUUCCUUUGCACUCAUUAUCUCCUUUGGAAAUGCAUCCCAAGCACCAGGGGAGCUCCCCCCACCAAGGCUGCACAGAGCCACAGAAAAAGCAGGGACCUGGGAGUCCAGAGGCCCAUAUUCAAGAACACACACCUCUGUCGGGCAUUCAGGCAAAACUUUUAACCCCUCUGGCCUCGUUUGUGCAUCCUGCAAUGAAAGGCAUGGAAAAGUGAUCUCUUAAGUCUCCUUGGGAGUACACAUGACUCCUAGAAUAUAAGUCCUCCCAACUGUGGGCCUGUGAGACUGAGGAGACCCGCUGGCUUCAUGUACCCCACACAACCUGGCGAGGCGGGCACCGACCGGGUAGCUGCCGUGUUCUUUGCCUUUUUUCUCCCUAGAUUUUUAACAAGUAUUUUGAUUUUUUAUUUCACCAAUUCAUUCAUUCAACAAAUAUUUAUUAGGUAUUUACUAUCUAUUCCUCACUUUUUUUUUUGCAUUCCAAUUUUACCAAUAAGAAAUCUGAGAAUUUAGGCAAACUCUUAAUGUCUGGGUUCACUGGACUGUCCCCUCUGAGUGAAAGGAUCCCUGGGGCUCUCCAUCCAUAAGACAUUCGAACCACAUUAGCAGUGAGCUUUGAGUGGGUUUGGCUAUUUAGCUCAUCAAGUGAAAGAGUGAUUAUUUGAAAUCUUUAAUGUGGCAGAGUGUCUAAGAAUAAUUCAAGCCAAUAAGAGGGUUAGAGUGUUGCUAGACAUGGUCAUUUCUAAUAAGACCCUCCCACUGAAGCCAAAGCCCAGCUCCAGACAGCAUGUUGGGAUCAAGGCAGGUAGAUCUGAAACACACCUGAUGAUACUAAGGACCAGCUGUGUUUCUCUUAUGUGGCUACACAUUGCAGCACAUUUGAAUUUGUGAAACACCAAAAGGUGUUUAAAAGGUUAAAGAGGCUUAGAGCAUACUCCUCAGAAAUUAUAACUCAGCUGAUCUGGAGGGAGUCUCAGACAUCAGUAUCUUAGCCCUCAGGUGGCCCCACGGGCAUAGGGUUGGGGGCUACUGGUGGACCCAGAAUGGCGGACACCUAGAAGUCAUCAUGGCACGCAUGCCUCCAAAGCCCCCAACAGACAUGACUGCUCAGUCAGUCCCCCGGCUCCCACCUGGACGGCAGCCUGUGAGUCUUCUCAUCACUGGACCCCAGGCAAGCACUACAGUGAAGCCACAUGGUCACACGAGCUGGACAUCCCUGUUGUUUCCAACAGCCCACUUUGGGCAUGAUUUUCCUACUUUAGGGCGUGCAAGGUAGGACGCCCCCAUGCUGAGAAGACCUCACCUGGCAGAGACAAGUGAGGGCCCAUGACCCGCGUGUUGUUAAAGGUCCAUCCGAAGAGCACAGCAGGGCCAAGGGAGAGAGAACUUGCAGCCAGGUCUGGCAGUAGAUGGCUUCAGAACCGCAGGGUGCUCAGCCAGGAAAGGGCCUGAGGGCCUCAGGUGUGCAAGAGUCCACCCAGGUCUCUCUAAGGAGUUUCCACGGGGAAAGCUCUCUUCAAAUCCCACGGCUGUCACUAGAAGAAGCAGGACCUGGCACAGAGGAGUACUGUACCCCCUGAGCCUCUGCCCCUCAACAUUUUUAGAAUGAGGACAAUGGUGCUUCCUUAACCUAGUGUUUGUAUGAGAAGCCAGACAAACACCACACGGAGUCUGUGGCCAGCAAAUGUUGGCUACCAUUCACCUUGAUUCUGUCACUGUUGGAGUGCUGGCUGCAGUUCCCUGACAGCUUUGAGGGUCUGGAUGCUCCUAGAGGGGCGUAGUAAAUAGUGUUCUCAGUGUUUCCCCCUGGGCCCAGCAUUGUGUCAAUAUCCUGCAGAUGGGACCCAUGUGUCACCAGGCCCAUACCAGGAAUGUUAAAAUUGUGUCUCAUUAACAGGGUUAAAGCAGAAGUCCAAUGACCCUGGCCCCUGCUUGUGAGUGGAUGUACUCAGGGUCCUUUCAUGUCCUUCCCCCCAAACCAGCACGGAGACCUCGCAGGGCCCACACGGGCUUGAGACGGCUCUCUUCACUGGGCCCACAUGUCAGUCAUUUCCUCGUUAUCAAGCUCACCACCUUCUCUGGUUUCCUGGGCAGCCGUUCUACCCUCCUCCUAGAUCUUGGCCCUGUGCUCUUGUCCCCCAGAGCUCCCUAAAAUGAAGCACAGAACACUACACAGAACAGAGAGGUCCUGC
rnacentral:lncRNA from 1 species